rnacentral:rRNA from 1 species
GACAGAGGCCUCAAGCGUUAGGCGGAAUCACUGGGCUUAAAGCGUGUGUAGGCGGAUCGUUAAGUGUCUUGUGAAAUCCCACGGCUCACCCGUGGAACUGCUGGGCAUACUGGCGAUCUUGGGCCAACUAGGGGCAGCUGGAACAAGCGGUGGAGCGGUGAAAUGCGUAGAUAUCGCUUGGAACGCCAACGGUGAAAACAGGUUGCUGGGGUUGUGCCGACGCUGAGACACGAAAGCCAGGGGAGCAAACGGG